GUCCACGCCGUAAACGGUGGGCGCUAGUUGUGCGAACCUUCCACGGUUUGUGCGACGCAGCUAACGCAUUAAGCGCCCCGCCUGGGGAGUACGAUCGCAAGAUUAAAACUCAAAGGAAUUGACGGGGCCCCCGCACAAGCAGCGGAGCAUGCGGCUUAAUUCGACGCAACGCGAAGAACCUUACCAAGGCUUGACAUAUACAGGAAUACGGCAGAGAUGUCGUAGCCGCAAGGUCUGUAUACAGGUGGUGCAUGGUUGUCGU
rnacentral:rRNA from 1 species